rnacentral:lncRNA from 1 species
CUGAGCCACGCACCUUCAUCCUCCUCACAUCCCGCUCUUGGACAUGGUGGCCCCCGGUUGCGUGACCAGCCGGCUGGUCACAGUGUCCCCUUCCUGCUGGUCCUGGUGGACCUGCAGUACAAAGCCAUUCCCAGUGAUCCUGUGGUUAGAACAAGGAAGAUCCACUCUACUUCAAGACUCUUGAAAACACACCCGCUUUUCCUGAAUUUUCUAAUCUACUCUCUACAGAGAUAAAUUCUGUAAGUCCUGUUAAUAAAAAUACUAUAUUACUUGUUUGUUAAU